GAUUAGCUAGUUGGUGGGGUAAUGGCCUACCAAGGCGACGAUCGGUAGCUGGUCUGAGAGGAUGAUCAGCCACACUGGGACUGAGACACGGCCCAGACUCCUACGGGAGGCAGCAGUGGGGAAUUUUGGACAAUGGGCGCAAGCCUGAUCCAGCCAUGCCGCGUGAGUGAAGAAGGCCUUCGGGUUGUAAAGCUCUUUCGGCCGGAACGAAAUCGUCCGGGCUAAUACCCCGGAUGGAUGACGGUACCGGAAGAAGAAGCACCGGCUAACUACGUGCCAGCAGCCGCGGUAAUACGUAGGGUGCAGGCGUUAAUCGGAAUUACUGGGCGUAAAGCGUGCGCAGGCGGCUUCCUAAGUCAGAUGUGAA
rnacentral:rRNA from 1 species